rnacentral:tRNA from 1 species
GAAACACGUAAUUCAGAAUUAAGCUUCUAACUUAAAUUCUAAGCGAUGAAAUUUCGUUUGUGCUUCU